rnacentral:rRNA from 1 species
AGUGAACGCUGGCGGUAGGCCUAACACAUGCAAGUCGAACGGCAGCACAGUAAGAGCUUGCUCUUACGGGUGGCGAGUGGCGGACGGGUGAGGAAUACAUCGGAAUCUACUUUUUCGUGGGGGAUAACGUAGGGAAACUUACGCUAAUACCGCAUACGACCUACGGGUGAAAGCAGGGGAUCUUCGGACCUUGCGCGAUUGAAUGAGCCGAUGUCGGAUUAGCUAGUUGGCGGGGUAAAGGCCCACCAAGGCGACGAUCCGUAGCUGGUCUGAGGGGAUGAUCAGCCACACUGGAACUGAGACACGGUCCAGACUCCUACGGGAGGCAGCAGUGGGGAAUAUUGGACAAUGGGCGCAAGCCUGAUCCAGCCAUACCGCGUGGGUGAAGAAGGCCUUCGGGUUGUAAAGCCCUUUUGCUGGGAAAGAAAAGCAGCAGGUUAAUACCCCGCUGUUCUGACGGUACCCAAAGAAUAAGCACCGGCUAACUUCGUG